UACGAAGGGGGCUAGCGUUGCUCGGAAUCACUGGGCGUAAAGGGCGCGUAGGCGGCCAUUCAAGUCGGGGGUGAAAGCCUGUGGCUCAACCGCAGAAUUGCCUUCGAUACUGCGGGUCUCGAGUCCGGGAGAGGUGAGUGGAAUUCCUAGUGUAGAGGUGAAAUUCGUAGAUAUUAGGAAGAACACCAGUGGCGAAGGCGGCUCACUGGCCCGGUACUGACGCUGAGGCGCGAAAGCGUGGGGAGCAAACAGG
rnacentral:rRNA from 1 species